AUUGAACGCUGGCGGCAGGCCUAACACAUGCAAGUCGAGCGGAAACGAGUUAUCUGAACCUUCGGGGAACGAUAACGGCGUCGAGCGGCGGACGGGUGAGUAAUGCCUAGGAAAUUGCCCUGAUGUGGGGGAUAACCAUUGGAAACGAUGGCUAAUACCGCAUGAUGCCUACGGGCCAAAGAGGGGGACCUUCGGGCCUCUCGCGUCAGGAUAUGCCUAGGUGGGAUUAGCUAGUUGGUGAGGUAAGGGCUCACCAAGGCGACGAUCCCUAGCUGGUCUGAGAGGAUGAUCAGCCACACUGGAACUGAGACACGGUCCAGACUCCUACGGGAGGCAGCAGUGGGGAAUAUUGCACAAUGGGCGCAAGCCUGAUGCAGCCAUGCCGCGUGUGUGAAGAAGGCCUUCGGGUUGUAAAGCACUUUCAGUCGUGAGGAAGGUAGUGUAGUUAAUAGCUGCAUUAUUUGACGUUAGCGACAGAAGAAGCACCGGCUAACUCCGUGCCAGCAGCCGCGGUAAUACGGAGGGUGCGAGCGUUAAUCGGAAUUACUGGGCGUAAAGCGCAUGCAGGUGGUUUGUUAAGUCAGAUGUGAAAGCCCGGGGCUCAACCUCGGAAUAGCAUUUGAAACUGGCAGACUAGAGUACUGUAGAGGGGGGUAGAAUUUCAGGUGUAGCGGUGAAAUGCGUAGAGAUCUGAAGGAAUACCGGUGGCGAAGGCGGCCCCCUGGACAGAUACUGACACUCAGAUGCGAAAGCGUGGGGAGCAAACAGGAUUAGAUACCCUGGUAGUCCACGCCGUAAACGAUGUCUACUUGGAGGUUGUGGCCUUGAGCCGUGGCUUUCGGAGCUAACGCGUUAAGUAGACCGCCUGGGGAGUACGGUCGCAAGAUUAAAACUCAAAUGAAUUGACGGGGGCCCGCACAAGCGGUGGAGCAUGUGGUUUAAUUCGAUGCAACGCGAAGAACCUUACCUACUCUUGACAUCCAGAGAACUUUCCAGAGAUGGAUUGGUGCCUUCGGGAACUCUGAGACAGGUGCUGCAUGGCUGUCGUCAGCUCGUGUUGUGAAAUGUUGGGUUAAGUCCCGCAACGAGCGCAACCCUUAUCCUUGUUUGCCAGCGAGUAAUGUCGGGAACUCCAGGGAGACUGCCGGUGAUAAACCGGAGGAAGGUGGGGACGACGUCAAGUCAUCAUGGCCCUUACGAGUAGGGCUACACACGUGCUACAAUGGCGCAUACAGAGGGCGGCCAACUUGCGAAAGUGAGCGAAUCCCAAAAAGUGCGUCGUAGUCCGGAUUGGAGUCUGCAACUCGACUCCAUGAAGUCGGAAUCGCUAGUAAUCGUGGAUCAGAAUGCCACGGUGAAUACGUUCCCGGGCCUUGUACACACCGCCCGUCACACCAUGGGAGUGGGCUGCAAAAGAAGUAGGUAGUUUAACCUUCGGGGGGACGCUUACCACUUUGUGGUUCAUGACUGGGGUG
rnacentral:rRNA from 2 species